UGGGGAAUCUUCCGCAAUGGACGAAAGUCUGACGGAGCAACGCCGCGUGAGUGAAGACGGCCUUCGGGUUGUAAAGCUCUGUGAUCCGGGACGAAAGAGCCUGAGGUAAAUAGCCUAAGGAAGUGACGGUACCGGAAAAGCAAGCCACGGCUAACUACGUGCCAGCAGCCGCGGUAAUACGUAGGUGGCAAGCGUUGUCCGGAAUUAUUGGGCGUAAAGCGCGCGCAGGCGGCUUACUAAGUCCAUCUUAAAAGUGCGGGGCUUAACCCCGGGAUGGGAUGGAAACUGGAAAGCUGGAGUAUCGGAGAGGAAAGUGGAAUUCCUAGUGUAGCGGUGAAAUGCGUAGAGAUUAGGAAGAAAAACGGUGGCGAAGGCGACUUUCUGGACGAAAACUGACGCUGAGGCGCGAAAGCGUGGGGAGCAAACAGG
rnacentral:rRNA from 1 species